AGUGACGACGCGUGGCGAGGCCUUAACACAUGCAAGUCGAGGGGCAUCGCGGUGCAGCAAUGCACUGGCGGCGACCGGCGUACGGGUGCGUAACGCGUAUGCAACCUGCCCCGCACCGGGGGAUAGCCCGCCGAAAGGCGGAUUAAUACCCCAUGGUCCCGGGGGCCCGCAUGGGCAUCCGGGUAAAGCCUUGGCGGUGCGGGAUGGGCAUGCGUGCCAUUAGCUGGCUGGUGGGGUAACGGCCCACCAGGGCAACGAUGGCUAGGGGGUCUGAGAGGAUGGUCCCCCACACUGGUACUGAGACACGGACCAGACUCCUACGGGAGGCAGCAGUGAGGAAUAUUGGUCAAUGGGCGGAAGCCUGAACCAGCCAUGCCGCGUGCGGGAUGAAGGCCCUACGGGUUGUAAACCGCUUUUCCCCGGGAAGAAUAACCCCGAUGAGUCGGGUGAUGCCGGUACCGGGGGAAUAAGGAUCGGCUAACUCCGUG
rnacentral:rRNA from 1 species